AUGACCGGACAGCAAAUACUGAAUGUCGACGCAUCCUACUCAGAAGACGAUUUCACAGAAGCUUGUGGAGUUGUGCUUCGCGAUAACAGAGGAGGCUUCAUCAGGGCAGCUACGGCGAGACUGGACCACGUCCCAGAUGUGGUUUCAGCAGAAGCAACAGCGCUGUUGGAGGGACUAAAACUAGCACAGAGCACUGGAUGCAACAAUCUUUUAGUACAUAUGGACAACCUGAUAGUGGUGCAGGCGCUAAAUAAUAAUGAAGGACACACGAUGGUGGCGGCUCCUAUUUUGCAAGAUUGUGAGUGA
rnacentral:rRNA from 1 species